rnacentral:rRNA from 1 species
GAGCUAGAUGGUACACUCACCUGCCGAAGCAACUAGCCCUGAAAAUGGAUGGCGCUAAAGCUUCUCACUUAUACCCUGCCGUUCAGUUAGAACCGAGCUUUUAGCUCUUGACAACUGAACGAGUAGGCAGGUCGCAUCGGUGGCGCGGAAGGCUCUGGGUGUGAACCUGGCUGGAGCCGCCGGUGGUGCAGAUCUUGGUGGUAGUAGCAAAUACUCCAGAGAGGCCCUGGAGGACCGAUGUGGAGAAGGGUUUCGUGUGAACAGCUGUUGGACACGAGUCAGUCGAUCCUAAGGCUUAGGGGAAACCUUAUACAAUAGAGCGGUGUUUUCUUAUUGAAGACCGCAUCUACAGCCGAAAGGGAAUGAGGUCCUUAUUCCUCAACCUGAUAGCGGAACCGAUCCGGCCCUCGUACCGACACGGCAACGUGAAAUGAGCCUGAGACGUCCGCCCGAGCUCUGGGAAGAGUUGUCUUUUCUGCAUAAGCCGCCGAGGCCCUGGAAUUCCUUCGAGGAGAGAAUGGGUUUUGGUCUAGGCAAAGAGCGCAGCAGUUCUCGCUGUGUCCAUGAGUGACGGGUGGAACCUUGAAAAUCAGGCUGAGGGUUACGGCGGAGUCGCAUCAGCUCGUACCCAUAUCCGCAGCAGGUCUCCUAGGUGACUAGCCUCUGGUCGAUAGAAUAAUGUAGGUAAGGGAAGUCGGCAAAUUGGAUCCGUAACUUCGGGAUAAGGAUUGGCUCUGAGGGUCGGGGUGUUUGGGCUUUGUGCUGGAAGCGGGUUGGCCUACCGGUGGGCCUGGCCGAACCCUUGGGUGAAGUCGGUCCCGUUUCACAGGCUCCCGUGGAUAGCCAUUGCUUUGCGGGCCCGGGCAACCGGUGUCUCGUUCAAACAUCGAUCAACGACUAACUCAGAACUGGCACGGACUAGGGGAAUCCGACUGUCUAAUAAAACAAAGCAUGCGAUUCAAGAUA